UCCCCACGGGCAAUGGGCAAAGAGAUACCUUUUUGGUGCUAUUUUUCUUACAUCAGUCAGGGGCAGAGCAGAUGGCAGUCCUUUGUUCAUCCUAACUUGAUGUCCGGCUGGCUGACCAAAGCUGUUUUAUGCAUAGGACACAGAA